rnacentral:rRNA from 1 species
UACGUAGGCAGCAAGCGUUGUUCGGAAUUACUGGGCGUAAAGAGUGUGUAGGCGGUGUUCUAAGUCUGUCGUGAAAUCUCCCGGCUUAACUGGGAGGGUGCGGCGGAAACUGGAGUGCUAGAGGGUGGGAGAGGAAAGCGGAAUUCCUGGUGUAGCGGUGAAAUGCGUAGAUAUCAGGAGGAACACCUGCGGUGUAGACAGCUUUCUGGACCACUUCUGACGCUGAGGUGCGAAAGCGUGGGGAGCAAACAGG